CCUACGUACUCCAGCACCGUCCUUGGCGCUCUAGAAAGGUCUCUGCCGCGCGCACCGCGGGCGCAGGCACGGCCACGCUCGCCCGCCGCCCUCGCACGGGCACCCAGCGCGGCGCCGGCCCCCGCUCGGGGUGGGAGCCCCGCGGGGACGAGGGGUGCCUGGGGCCGGCGGUGCUGGGGUCCCCCCCCCUUCUGGAUCUGGGGACAGGAGGUGGAGGGGUGGCAGGGCAGGACGCGGCCCCUGCGCCCGUCAGGGCUGGGGAUCCCCGCGUGGCCGCCCACGCCCGGCGAGGGCACCCUCGUGUCCCCAGCAGCGGCUGCGGAGGUGGCCGAGCCCCGGCUGCUGCAGCGAGGCUGCGACGCCCACGGGUGCAGGGAUGGCACCCAGAGAAGUGUCACCUUCCUCUGUCACCCUGCUCGUCGGGGACGGGGACAGAGCCGGGAUGGGGCUGGAGCCAGGGCUGUGGAACGGAGACGGGGCUGGGGACGGAGCUGGGGCACCGACAUGGAGGUGACGGCGAUGCCGGCGGUGAUGCCGGUGGAGAUGGCGACGGCGUGCACGCGCUGCUGGCUGGGGACAGUGACACCAAGCUCCGCUUCGGCGUGACACCAGGCCACACCGCGCACGGCUCCAGGAGCGUUUCCCCGGCCGCCCCCCCCGGUUUCCCACCCUCGCAGCAGCCCCAGCAGCUCCCACGGUGGCACCGGGGCCGUCAGCGUGCUGCAGCGCCUCGACGGUGCGGCCCUCCGCCGGGAGCCACCGAAGGGACCGGUGUGUGCCUGCAGAACUCUGUGACCCCCCCCCAGCACCGCUCCAAAUUGCCACCAGACCCUCACCCCCGGGCACGGAGCUGCCGCUCGACCCCGCUGCUCGUCGGCAGCCUCACCACGACCACGGCCACGGCCACGGCACACGGAUGGCCCCGUUCAGCCCAAGGCCCUGCCGCGCUCGGCUGCGCCGCGGAGAAGGGGACGGUUUUGGGAGCAGCGUUGGUGAUGCCGGGGGGUUCCCAGCCACCCCCCUCGGUCCCUGCGUGCAGCGGCUCCGGGCUGAUGGAGGUGACCUGGGGCCAGCUCCCGGCCCGGCCCCUGCCUGCAGCCGCGGCUGAGCCUCUGCCACCGGCAAAGCCCCGCCGGGGGGCACCCGGGGCUUCCCUGCCUGCAGCCCUGGGCCCUCGGCUCCCAUCUGCCAUGUCCCCACCGCUCUGUGCCGUGUCCCCACCGCUCUGUGCCGUGUCACCAUCAUGCCUCUGCCGCAUCCCCGUCAGCCUGUGCCAUGUCUCCAUCCGUCCGCGCUGCGUCCCCACCGGCCCAUGCCGUGUGGCACCGGUGCGUGCCACGUCCCUGCUGGGGUGUGCCAUGUCCCCGUCAGUCUGCGCCGUGUCCCCAUCGUGUCUCUGCUGCAUCCCCGUCAUCCGGGGCCGUGCCCCCAGUGCUCUGUGCCGUGUCCCCAUCGUCCUGUGCCAUGUCCCUGUCCAUCUGUGCCAUGGCCCCGUCACGUCUCUGCCACAUCCCCAUCACCCUGUGCCACGUCCCCCUUGCCCUGUGCUGUGUCCCCACCACCCUGUGCCACGUCCCCGCCACUCCGUGUCACAUCCCCAUGCGUCCCCUGCACCCGACACCAGCAGCGGACCCAGGAUUUCUCUCUGGGCACUGGCGCACCCAGUGCCCAGGGUGCUGCCAGGCCCCCCCUGCCCUGCCUGCCCCCCCCACCCCCACCCCGGGCACGUUGCACACCCAGGGCUUGUGCGUGUGCAGGCCCAGGUGUCCCCGUGCCCCCUGCCACCCCACAGCAGGGGACACCCAGGGCCGCUGGGGACCUCGG
ensembl:lncRNA